AUUGAACGCUAGCGGCAUGCCUUACACAUGCAAGUCGAACGGAGGGGCGAACGGGUGAGUAAUGUAUCGGAACGUGCCCAGUAGAGGGGGAUAACUACGCGAAAGCGUAGCUAAUACCGCAUACUAUAGGAUCGGCCGCUAUCGGAUUAGCUAGUUGGUGGGGGAACGGCAUACCAAGGCGACUAUCCGUACCUGGUUUGAGAGGACGACCAGCCACACUGGACCUGAGACACGGCCCAGACUCCUACGUGAGGCAGCAGUGGGGAAUUUUGGACAAUGGGGGAAACCCUGAUCCAGCCAUCCCGCGUGUGCGAUGAAGGCCUUCGGGUUGUAAAGCACUUUUGGCAGGAAAGCGGUACCUGCAGAAUAAGCACCGGCUAACUACGUGCCAGCAGCCGCGGUAAUAC
rnacentral:rRNA from 1 species